UACGUAGGGUGCGAGCGUUGUCCGGAAUUAUUGGGCGUAAAGAGCUCGUAGGUGGUUUGUCGCGUUGUUCGUGAAAACUCACAGCUUAACUGUGGGCGUGCGGGCGAUACGGGCAGACUGGAGUACUGCAGGGGAGACUGGAAUUCCUGGUGUAGCGGUGGAAUGCGCAGAUAUCAGGAGGAACACCGGUGGCGAAGGCGGGUCUCUGGGCAGUAACUGACGCUGAGGAGCGAAAGCUAGGGGAGCAAACGGG
rnacentral:rRNA from 1 species